rnacentral:tRNA from 1 species
GCCGGGAUGGCGGAACUGGUUUACGCGCGGGUUUCAAAAACCCGUGGGCGAAAGCCCAUGAGGGUUCGAGUCCCUCUCCCGGCACGA